rnacentral:misc_RNA from 1 species
CAUCGAGCUUUCCAAAGACUCAUUUUCCAGCCAAUAUCAUACGCUUCGAUUACAUCCGUUAAGCUAUCGCCUCGAAUUUAACAUUCGCCGAACGUAUUGUGUCUGGAAUCUUGUAACGCAACAUCGCUCGCGAAGCGCUAUUUUACGAAGAAACUCGUUUGCUAGAGAACACGUAAUAGAACGACGAACGAUACAGAUAUCGCGGUGUCGGUUCGCCGGUGGACAAAGAACCGAGACAGAAAAAUCUCUGAAAAAUAUUUCGGUUAUCCGUCACAUAGGUGAGAGGUACGCCGAUCGUGACUCGAAUCGUGCCACGGAACCAACGAAUCAAU